GUAAAAUUUCGUGGAGGUCCGAACCCACGAGCGUUGAAAAGCUCGGGGAUGACUUGUGGGUAGCGGUGAAAUUCCAAUCGAGCCCGGAGAUAGCUGGUUCUCCCCGAAAUAGCUUUAGGGCUAGCCUCAAGGUGAGAGAUACGGAGGUAGAGCACUGAAUGUCCUAGGGGGUAUUGCACCUACCGAAGACUAUCAAACUCCGAAUGCCGUCAUCUUAUACUUGGGAGUCAGACUGUGGGUGAUAAGAUUCAUAGUCGAAAGGGCAACAGCCCAGAUCGUCAGCUAAGGUCCCUAAAUGUAAGUUAAGUGGUAAAGGAUGUGGGAUUGCACAGACAACCAGGAUGUUGGCUUAGAAGCAGCCACUCAUUCAAAGAGUGCGUAAUAGCUCACUGGUCGAGUGAUCCUGCGCCGAAGAUUUCCGGGGCUAAAACUUACUACCGAAGCUACGGCAUCAGUAAUGAUGGGUAGGGGAGCUUCCCAUACGGGUUGAAGCAUGACCGUAAGGACAUGUGGACAGUAUGGGAGUGAGAAUGUUGGC
rnacentral:rRNA from 1 species